UACGGGCGUAUGGUGGAUGCCUUGGCAUGCUGAGCCGAUGAAGGACGUGUGAGGCUGCGUUAUGCCUCGGGGAGUUGCCAACAAAGCGUUGAUCCGAGGAUGUCCGAAUGGGGAAACCCAGCACCGGUUGUGUGGUGUUACCCGCAGGUGAAUUCAUAGUCUGUGUGGGGGUUGACGCGGGGAAGUGAAACAUCUCAGUACCCGUAGGAGAAGAAAACAAUUGUGAUUCCGUGUGUAGUGGCGAGCGAUAGCGGAUGAGGCUAAACCGUGUGCGUGUGAUACCUGGCAGGGGUUGCGUGUGCGGUGUUGUGGGGCGCAAAUGUUGCAGGCUGCCGACUGCAAGCGCAAUUUGCAUGCAUCAGCGGAAGCAUCUGGGAUGGUGCACCGGAGUAGGUGAUAAGUCCUGUACGUGAAGGUGUGUGUGGUUGUGUUGUUUGUGUUCCCGAGUAGCAGCGGGCUCGUGGAAUCUGCUGUGAAUCUGCCGGGACCACCCGGUAAGCCUAAAUACUCAGUGUGACCGAUAGUGGAUGAAGUACCGUGAGGGAAUGGUGAAAAGUACCCCGGGAGGGGAGUGAAAGAGUUCCUGAAACCAUGCGCUUACAAUCCGUCAGAGCACCUUGUGUGUGAUGGCGUGCCUUUUGAAGAAUGAGCCUGCGAGUUAG
rnacentral:rRNA from 1 species